rnacentral:rRNA from 1 species
UGGGUAGCGGAGAAAUUCCAAUCGAACCUGGAGAUAGCUGGUUCUCUCCGAAAUAGCUUUAGGGCUAGCCUCAAGUGAUGAUUAUUGGAGGUAGAGCACUGUUUGGACGAGGGGCCCUUCUCGGGUUACCGAAUUCAGACAAACUCCGAAUGCCAAUCAAUUUAACUUGGGAGUCAGAACAUGGGUGAUAAGGUCCGUGUUCGAAAGGGAAACAGCCCAGACCACCAGCUAAGGUCCCAAAAUAUAUGUUAAGUGGAAAAGGAUGUGGCGUUGCCCAGACAACUAGGAUGUUGGCUUAGAAGCAGCCAUCAUUUAAAGAGUGCGUAAUAGCUCACUAGUCGAGUGACACUGCGCCGAAAAUGUACCGGGGCUAAACAUAUUACCGAAGCUGUGGAUUGUCCGUAGGACAAUGGUAGGAGAGCGUUCUAAGGGCGUUGAAGCAUGAUCGCAAGGACAUGUGGAGCGCUUAGAAGUGAGAAUGCCGGUGUGAGUAGCGAAAGACGGGUGAGAAUCCCGUCCACCGAUUGACUAAGGUUUCCAGAGGAAGGCUCGUCCGCUCUGGGUUAGUCGGGACCUAAGCUGAGGCCGAAAGGCGUAGGCGAUGGACAACAGGUUGAUAUUCCUGUACCACCUCAAUUCGUUUUAAGCGAUGGGGGGACGCAGUAGGAUAGGCGAAGCGUACGAUUGGAUUGUACGUCCAAGCAGUAAGACUGAGUA